UAUUAAUAGACUACUGACGUAGUUGACUACGUAUUGACGACAAACAAUAUUCCUACGACUUUUGCAAUUUGGGAAAUCUUAACUACUUGUCUUUAGAGAUUUUCGGCGAUUAAAUAUUUCAUACAUUUGUUCUUUGACAUCUUAGCCAAAAGCUCAGGGGAGAAUAAACUACAUAAGGAUUCCUAAUGUGCUCUACUUCCUAUGUGCAACUUCAAAACUUUUGGGAAAAUCGACGAUCAUUUAAGGUUUUUCUGGUCAUAUUUUUUGUAAUCCAGAAUGAAAAGUAUGAAAAAACUGUCCAAUAAGUUAUAAAUAAUAUAGUAGCCAGCUAGAUGAUAACAAUGGCACGUAUUUCAGAAUUUAUUGGGUAGAACACAAAUCCAGGGUGCUCGCAUAAGGCAGCUUAACUGCCUAAAAAUUAA
rnacentral:lncRNA from 1 species